rnacentral:rRNA from 1 species
AUGGCCGAGUACAUCGGGCGCAUGAAGGCGCUCGGUGUUGAGAUGGCAUCGGUGGGCAAGCCGCUCACCGACGACGACAUGGUGUCCUACAUCCUGGCGGGACUCGACUACGACUACAUGUCCUUUGUCUCCAUGAUCUGUGCUCGGACUCAGCAAAUCAAGGUGAGCGAGCUUUACUCGCAGCUGAUCAACUUUGAAAGCAGAUUGGCUAUGUUUGAAGGCGGAGGGCAGUCCUCCCACUCCUCUGCCAACGCCGUGUCUUGGCAGACGCGGUGGAUCCAACCAUGGCGGUGGCCGCGCUGGCAACGGUGGCCGCAAUGGAGGCGGCCGUGGCAACGGCUGUGGUGGUCGUGUUGUGGCGGCGGCCGCGGCAAUGGAGUUGCAGUAUCAAACAAUUGGAGUCUUCAUCAAUUGGAUGUGUAG